rnacentral:rRNA from 1 species
AGUGGCGAACGGGUGAGUAAUGCAUCGGAACGUAUCCAAUAAUGGGGGAUAACGCAUCGAAAGGUGUGCUAAUACCGCAUACGCCCUGAGGGGGAAAGUGGGGGACCGUAAGGCCUCACGUUAAUGGAGCGGCUGAUGCCUGAUUAGCUAGUUGGUGAGGUAAAGGCUCACCAAGGCGACGAUCAGUAGCUGGUCUGAGAGGACGACCAGCCACACUGGAACUGAGACACGGUCCAGACUCCUACGGGAGGCAGCAGUGGGGAAUUUUGGACAAUGGGGGCAACCCUGAUCCAGCCAUGCCGCGUGAGUGAAGAAGGCCUUCGGGUUGUAAAGCUCUUUCGCAAGGGAAGAAAAGACACUCAAUAACACCGGGUGUUCAUGACGGUACCUUGAUAAGAAGCACCGGCUAACUACGUGCCAGCAGCCGCGGUAAUACGUAGGGUGCGAGCGUUAAUCGGAAUUACUGGGCGUAAAGCGAGCGCAGGCGGUUUUGUAAGUCAGAUGUGAAAUCCCCGGGCUCAACCUGGGAACUGCGUUUGAAACUGCAAGGCUAGAGUGUGUCAGAGGGAGGUAGAAUUCCACGUGUAGCAGUGAAAUGCGUAGAGAUGUGGAGGAACACCGAUGGCGAAGGCAGCCUCCUGGGAUAACACUGACGCUCAUGCUCGAAAGCGUGGGGAGCAAACAGGAUUAGAUACCCUGGUAGUCCACGCCCUAAACGAUGUCUACUAGU